rnacentral:rRNA from 2 species
UGAGGAAUAUUGGGCAAUGCUCGCAAGAGUGACCCAGCAACGCCGCGUGGAGGAUGAAUGCCGUAAGGUUGUAAACUCCUGUGAGAAGGGACGAAAGCGCAGGUUUGAAGCCUGCUUUGACUGUACCUUCAGAGGAAACCCCGGCUAACUACGUGCCAGCAGCCGCGGUAAUACGUAGGGGGUAAGCGUUGUCCGGAUUUACUGGGUGUAAAGGGCGCGUAGGCGGGCCCGUAAGUCAGAGGUGAAAUCCUACAGCUUAACUGUAGAGCUGCCUUUGAUACUGCGGGUCUUGAGUUCAGAAGAGAGAGAUGGAAUUCCAGGUGUAGUGGUGAAAUACGUAGAUAUCUGGAAGAACACCAGUGGCGAAGGCGAUCUCUUGGUCUGUAACUGACGCUGAGGCGCGAAAGCGUGGGUAGCAAACAGG